rnacentral:rRNA from 1 species
GACGUAGGGCGCGAGCGUUGUCCGGAAUUAUUGGGCGUAAAGAGCUCGUAGGCGGUCUGUCACGUCGGCUGUGAAAACCCGGGGCUCAACCCCGGGCCUGCAGUCGAUACGGGCAGACUAGAGUGCGGUAGGGGAGACUGGAAUUCCCGGUGUAGCGGUGAAAUGCGCAGAUAUCGGGAGGAACACCGGUGGCGAAGGCGGUCUCUGGGCCUUACCUGGACG